rnacentral:rRNA from 1 species
GGUGAACGCUGGCGGCGUGCUUAAGACACGCAAGUCGAACGGCAGUCUUCGGACUGUAGUGGCGCACGGGUGAGUAACGCGUAACUGACCUACCCCAAAGUCGCGGAUAACGAUUCGAAAGAAUCGCUAAUACGUGAUGUGCUGUCAGAUUGUGUUCUGCCAGUAAAGAUUGAUUGCUUUGGGAUGGGGUUGCGUUCCAUCAGCUAGUUGGUGGGGUAAAGGCCCACCAAGGCGACGACGGAUAGCCGGCCUGAGAGGGUGGCCGGCCACAGGGGGAAUGGGACACGGGGCCCACUCCUACGGGAGGCAGCAGUUAGGAAUCUUCCACAAUGGGCGAAAGCCUGAUGGAGCGACGCCGCGUGAGGGAUGAAGGUCUUCGGAUCGUAAACCUCUGAAUCAGGGACGAAAGACACUUCGGUGGGAUGACGGUACCUGAGUAAUAGCACCGGCUAACUCCGUGCCAGCAGCCGCAGUAACAC